CGUGCUUGUGUUGCUUAGUCUUCUUCUUCCUCGGCUUACCUCUCUCAGCCACGCCGAAUGGUGGCGACCUCAGCUACCGCUCUCUGAAACCCCUUCGGCCUCUCCGCAUUUCUCUUGGUAAUUUUUCGAAGAUUUUUGUUCUCUCCAAACGGUCGAAUUGAACCCUAGAGUGUUUCUUCGUUUUGUAGAUUGCUGAACUGAUCAACCUAGUGGUAAUUCUUGAAUUCUUCUCUUGUUUCACCAGUUUUUGUUUUGCGGAUUGGAUAAUAUGAUGAUGGAUUCUGAGAACCAGGGCUUUGAAGAAGCCCAGUUGUAUUCCUCUCGUGACCAGAUGGAAAAUUUGGUUGUCAAGGAGCAAUUAAGCUCCAAAUCUUUCUCUAAUUAUCGUAGUGCCAUGUCCUCGCUCUCAGAAACGCAUCAUCCUUUGUCCCCGCCGACCAUUCUUACACCGGCUGAUUCGGAUCCCCUGCUUGCUCCGACGAUAGAUCGAGAUGUCCGAAACCCUAAAGCGUCCGAUCGUUUAUUCUCCGAGCCACUUCACUUUUCUGAUGUGAAUUCUGUUCCGUUUGAUGGGAAUAGUUUUAGUGAUGUUAAUGGUGUUGAAAGCCCCAGCAAAAGUUCGGAGAGCUCUGGGGGUUUAUCCAGAUCUUCGUCUUCAAAUUUGGAAUAUAUACAAAUUACAGUCUCGAAUCCUCAGAAAGAGCAAGAUGUUUCGAACUCGAUAGUGCCUGGUGGUAAUUCGUACAUAACUUAUCUGAUCACUACCAGGACUAACAUGGCGGAGUUUGGGGGAUCAGAAUAUAGUGUUCGAAGGAGGUUUAAGGAUGUGGUGACGCUAUCAGAACGAUUGGCGGAGUCUUAUAGAGGGUUCUUUAUACCCCCACGCCCGGAUAAGAGUGUGGUGGAAGGCCAAGUGAUGCAUAAGCAAGAAUUUGUGGAGCAGAGGAGGAUGGCACUGGAGAAGUACUUGAGGAAACUAGCAGGACAUCCAGUGAUCAGGAAGAGCGAUGAGUUUAAGGUUUUCUUGCAGGUUCAAGGAAGAUUGCCACUGCCAACGACAACCGAUGUUGCAUCUAGGAUGCUUGAUGGUGCAGUGAAACUCCCGAAGCAGUUGCUCAGUGAGAGCGCAAUCGCACCUCAGGAGGUGGUACAGCCGGCAAAAGGUGGAAGGGAUUUGUUAAGAUUGUUCAAGGAGUUGAAGCAAUCUGUGACGAAUGACUGGGGAAGUUCAAAGCCUGCAGUCAUUGAGGAGGAUAAGAAAUUUUUGGAAAAGAAAGAAAAGUUGCGUGAUUUGGAGCAGCAGCUCAGUGCUGCAUCUCAGCAGGCAGAAUUAUUGGUUAAAGCUCAGCAAGAUAUGGCAGAAACAUUAGGAGAGUUAGGUUUGACCUUGAUUAAGUUGACAAAAUUUGAACAUGAGGAGGCUGUAUUCAACUGUCAAAGAGUUCGUGCUGCCGAUACGAAAAAUGUAGCAACUGCUGCUGUUAAAGCAAGCCGAUGCUAUCGGGAACUAAAUGCUCAAACUGUGAAACAUUUGGAUGUUCUUCACGACUAUUUGGGGUUAAUGCUAGCAGUUCAUGGUGCAUUCUCAGAACGCUCAAGUGCUUUACUGACUGAGCAAACUCUAUUGUCUGACUUGUCCUCUUUGAAAUCAAGAGCCGAAAAGCUUGAAGCUGCAUCAUCUAAAGUAUUUGGUGGUGACAUAGCGAGGAUUCAGAAGUUAGAGCAGUUAAAAGAAUCCAUAAGAACUACAGAGGAUGCUAAAAAUGUUGCAAUGCGUGAAUACGAGCGCAUAAAGGAAAACAAUAGGAGCGAGCUGGAAAGAUUUGACAGAGAGAGACAAGCCGACUUCUUGAGUAUGAUGAAAGGGUUUGUAACAAAUCAGGUCGGAUAUGCAGAGAAAAUGUCGCACGUAUGGGCAAAGGUAGCAGAGGAGACGAGCAGCUAUUCAAAGGAGAACAAUUGAAGUUUUUGUGGCUUAAGAAGAUCAUUUUUUUCUUUGUUUGUUCUAUUUUUGGUCCCACAAGAUUCAUUUUUAAGGUAAUAAAACAUAAAAGAGGAAGAACACUUGGGGAGGAGGGAUUUUUUCACCAUCUCAUUCCCCAAGUUGUUGGUGUCCUCACGAAAUGAACUAUCCAAACACUGAGCUGCUGAUGAAGUUCAUGGGAGAACUGAGGUUUGAUGAUAUAUUAUUGUAAAUUCAUCUCUUCUUCUUCUUCUUCUUCUUCUUUGUCUUAAUCCUAGAAAGUUGAAACUUCUGAGUUAA